AGUGAACGCUGGCGGCGUGCUUAACACAUGCAAGUCGAACGAGAACGGGUUAUAGCUUGCUAUAAUUGUCAGCUAAGUGGCGCACGGGUGAGUAAUGUAUAGGUAAUAUGCCUCUUACUAAGGGAUAACAAAUGGAAACGUUUGCUAAUACCUUAUACUCCUUAUUAACAUAAGUUAAUAAGGGAAAGAUUUAUUGGUAAGAGAUUAGCCUGUAUUGUAUCAGUUAGUUGGUGGGGUAAUGGCUUACCAAGACUAUGACACAUAACUGGUUUGAGAGGGUGAACAGUCACACUGGAACUGAGACACGGUCCAGACUCCUACGGGAGGCAGCAGUGGGUAAUAUUGCACAAUGGACGACAGUCUGAUGCAGCAACGCCGCGUGGAGGAUGACACAUUUCGGUGCGUAAACUCCUUUUAUAUGAGAAGAUAAUGACGGUAUUAUAUGAAUAAGCACCGGCUAACUCCGUGCCAGCAGCCGCAGUAAUAC
rnacentral:rRNA from 1 species